rnacentral:rRNA from 1 species
GACGAACCGUCCAAACGUUAUUCGGAUUCACUGGGCUUAAAGGGUGCGUAGGCGGCUCAGAAAGUAGGGUGUGAAAGCCCUCGGCUCAACCGAGGAAUUGCGCCCUAAACUACUGGCUUGAGGAACGCAGAGGUAAGCGGAACUUACGGUGGAGCGGUGAAAUGCGUUGAUAUCGUAAGGAACACCAGGAGCGAAAGCGGACUUACUGGGCGUUUUCUGACGCUGAGGCACGAAAGCCAGGGGAGCGAAC